rnacentral:rRNA from 1 species
CGGGCAGUGGCGGACGGGUGAGUAUCGCGUAGGGAUUUAUCGUUGGGUGGGGGGAGUAACCUUGGGAAAACUGGGGCUAAUACCGCAUGACGCCCGAGGGCCAAAGCUGAGGCGCCUGACGAGAAGCCUGCGUCCGAUUAGGUAGUUGGUUGGGUAAUGGCUGACCAAGCCUGCGAUCGGUAGCUGGUCUGAGAGGAUGAUCAGCCACACUGGGACUGAGACACGGCCCAG